UUGAGGUCGGGAGAGGUUACGCGGUACUCCCAGGGGUAGAGGUGAAAUUCUGUAAUCCUGGGAGGACCACCUGUGGCGAAGGCGGCUAACUGGAACGAACCUGACGGUGAAGGGACGAAAGCUAGGGGCGCGAACCGGAUUAGAUACCCGGGUAGUCCUAGCCGUAAACGAUGCGGACUUGGUGUUGGGAUGGCUUUGAGCCGCUCCGGUGCCGAAGGGAAGCUGUUAAGUCCGCCGCCUGGGAAGUACGGUCGCAAGACUGAACUUAAAGGAAUUGGCGGGGGAGCACCACAACGGCGUGGAGCCUGCGGUUUAAUUGGAUUCAACGCCGGACAUCUCACCAGGAGCGACAGCUGUAUGAUUACCAGGCUGAUGACCUUGUUUGACUAGCUGAGUAGUGGUGCAUGG
rnacentral:rRNA from 1 species